UGACCUGGCUCAGAACGAACGCUGGCGGCAUGCCUAACACAUGCAAGUCGAACGAGAAGAUCCCGCAAGGGAUUUGUAAAGUGGCGCACGGGUGAGUAACACGUGGGUAAUCUGCCUUUUUGUUUGGGAUAACCCUUCGAAAGAAGGGCUAAUACCGGAGAGACCACAGGGACAUCAGUCCUAGGGGUUAAAGAUGGGGACCGUAAGGCCUAUCGCAGAAAGAUGAGCCCGCGCACUAUCAGCUAGUUGGUGAGGUAAUGGCUCACCAAGGCUAUGACGGUUAGCUGGUCUGAGAGGAUGAUCAGCCACACUGGAACUGAGACACGGUCCAGACUCCUACGGGAGGCAGCAGUGGGGAAUCUUGCACAAUGGGCGAAAGCCUGAUGCAGCAAUGCCGCGUGAGUGAUGAAGGCCUUCGGGUUGUAAAUCUCUGUCGGUUGGGAAAAAUGGCUUUGCAGUGAAUAAUUGCAGAGAGUGAUGGUACCAGCAAAGGAAGAGGCGGCUAACUCUGUGCCAGCAGCCGCGGUAAUACAGAGGCCUCGAGCGUUGUUCGGAAUUACUGGGCGUAAAGGGAAUGUAGGUGGUGACGUAAGUCAGAUGUGAAAGCCCUGGGCUUAACCUGGGAAGUGCAUUUGAUACUGCGUUGCUUGAGUACGAGAGAGGAAAGCGGAAUUUCCAGUGUAGGAGUGAAAUCCGUAGAUAUUGGGAGGAAUACCGAUGGCGAAGGCAGCUUUCUGGCUCGUAACUGACACUGAGAUUCGAAAGCGUGGGUAGCAAACAGGAUUAGAUACCCUGGUAGUCCACGCCGUAAACGAUGGAUGCUUGUUGUUGGAUAGGUCAACCCUUCCAGUAACGAAGCUAACGCGUUAAGCAUCCCGCCUGGGGAGUACGGUCGCAAGAUUAAAACUCAAAGAAAUUGACGGGGACCCGCACAAGCAGUGGAGCAUGUGGUUCAAUUCGACGCAACGCGAAGAACCUUAUCCUGGUCUUGACAUCCUCUGACCGCCAGCGAAAGUUGGUUUUCCCUUCGGGGACAGAGAGACAGGUGCUGCAUGGCUGUCGUCAGCUCGUGUCGUGAGAUGUUGGGUUAAGUCCCGUAACGAGCGCAACCCACGCCUCUUGUUGCCAUCAUUAAGUUGGGCACUCUAGAGGGACUGCCAGUGUUAAACUGGAGGAAGGUGUGGAUGACGUCAAGUCCUCAUGGCCCUUAUGACCAGGGCUACACACGUGCUACAAUGCAGAGUACAAAGGGCUGCGAAACCGUGAGGUGGAGCCAAUCCCAAAAACUUUGCUCAGUUCGGAUUGAAGGCUGCAACUCGACUUCAUGAAGCUGGAAUUGCUAGUAAUCGCAGAUCAGCACGCUGCGGUGAUAUCAACCCGGUGUGACUCACCGC
rnacentral:rRNA from 1 species